UCUGAAGUGUCAACACAGGCUGAAAGCAGA
rnacentral:piRNA from 1 species